AGGACGAACGCUGGCGGCGUGCUUAACACAUGCAAGUCGAGCGGAAAGGCCCUUCGGGGUACUCGAGCGGCGAACGGGUGAGUAACACGUGAGUAACCUGCCCCUAGCUCUGGGAUAGCUCCGGGAAACCGGGAUUAAUACCAGAUACGACCACUUUAGACAUCUGUCGUGGUGGAAAGGAUUCCGGCUAGGGAUGGGCUCGCGGCCUAUCAGCUUGUUGGUGGGGUAACGGCCUACCAAGGCGACGACGGUAGCCGGCCUGAGAGGGCGACCGGCCACACUGGGACUGAGACACGGCCCAGACUCCUACGGGAGGCAGCAGUGGGGAAUAUUGCGCAAUGGGCGAAAGCCUGACGCAGCGACGCCGCGUGGGGGAUGAAGGCCUUCGGGUUGUAAACCCCUUUCAGCAGGGACGAAGCGAAAGUGACGGUACCUGCAGAAGAAGCGCCGGCUAACUACGUGCCAGCAGCCGC
rnacentral:rRNA from 1 species